ACGAUGAAAGCCUAUAGCGAAACC
rnacentral:siRNA from 1 species